GACGAACGCUGGCGGCGUGCCUAAUACAUGCAAGUCGAACGCUUCUUUCCUCCCGAGUGCUUGCACUCAAUUGGAAAGAGGAGUGGCGGACGGGUGAGUAACACGUGGGUAACCUACCCAUCAGAGGGGGAUAACACUUGGAAACAGGUGCUAAUACCGCAUAACAGUUUAUGCCGCAUGGCAUAAGAGUGAAAGGCGCUUUCGGGUGUCGCUGAUGGAUGGACCCGCGGUGCAUUAGCUAGUUGGUGAGGUAACGGCUCACCAAGGCCACGAUGCUUAGCCGACCUGAGAGGGUGAUCGGCCACACUGGGACUGAGACACGGCCCAGACUCCUACGGGAGGCAGCAGUAGGGAAUCUUCGGCAAUGGACGAAAGUCUGACCGAGCAACGCCGCGUGAGUGAAGAAGGUUUUCGGAUCGUAAAACUCUGUUGUUAGAGAAGAACAAGGACGUUAGUAACUGAACGUCCCCUGACGGUAUCUAACCAGAAAGCCACGGCUAACUACGUG
rnacentral:rRNA from 1 species